rnacentral:rRNA from 1 species
UACAGAGGGGGCAAGCGUUGUUCGGAAUUACUGGGCGUAAAGGGCGCGUAGGCGGCCUGUUAAGUCGAACGUGAAAUCCCUGGGCUCAACCCAGGAACUGCGUCCGAUACUGGCAGGCUUGAAUCCGGGAGAGGGAUGUGGAAUUCCAGGUGUAGCGGUGAAAUGCGUAGAUAUCUGGAGGAACACCGGUGGCGAAGGCGGCAUCCUGGACCGGUAUUGACGCUGAGGAGCGAAAGCGUGGGGAGCGAACAGG